CUCCAUGUAUUUUUAAAUCUGGACAUUGAUGAUUUUCUGGUUGUUUCCCUUUGUGUUGAACUUACAAUUGUAUCUCUGGUGGUUAUAUUUAUCUCUAGUUAUUUCAUGACUUUAUGCACAUAUAUUCUGCUGCUAUACUUAUGCCAACUCAGAAAUGUGUAAUUUUAGUUGUGUGUUUUUGUGGACCUUACUAAUGCAUCUGAAUUCAGUUUUACAGGAUGACGAGUGGCUUCCACCCCCCAAAUUCUUAAGAGGUUCUGCAGAACUUCCACCGCCUAUUGCAAAUGAGUCUGAACGUCCAUUGCUUAGACCUGAUGGGGAGACGUGAGUUAUCAUUUAAUCCACGCAUUACUGUUUGGCACACCUUGGGUGUUUGACAUAUUACACUAUGACAUACCUUGGGGUGUGUUUAACUUAUAUCUAUUUUCUUGUGCUAGGCACUGGUUAGAAUUAUAUACAUUUAGAAAAAAAUGUGAGAAAGCCAAAUGGUGUGCUAACAAUUCUGUCCAGACUACAGUGGAUGGUAGCCUUGGUGGUUUGUAUAAGUUUCUUAUGGUGUGUAAAGCCAUUUGAUAUAGUUUUCUAAUUUGUAUCAAAAAUUUCAGACCAUCGCAUCCCUUCAAGGAGUUCAAGGGCCUGAGAUUCCAUGUAUUGUUAUACCUCCACCUCCAGCUUUUUCAACAUUAACCACUUCGUCUCCGAUCUUUUCUCCAGAAAUGGUAGGUACAUAUUUCUUUCGAAGGUAAUAACACCAGAUCGGCCAAAUAAGAAAAGAAAAGGAAUAGGUUGCACUAUAGGGUUUAACAUCUAUCUUGUUGCUGAAUCAGCUAAGGAUUUUUGUAGUCAUUAUUUAUAAUUUGAUAUUUCGAGAUUCUAAAAAAGACAUUUCUGCAGCCCUCCAUAGGUGAAUCAACUAAUGGUGCUAAAAAUAUGAAUAAUACAUCGCGUGGAGCAGAAGAUGGAAUGUUUGCUGGCUUGUUUGACGCAAACUGGAAGUUUCUCUCCUCCUGGUGACGAACUACCUCCUUUUUGAGAUGUCUCUUGCGGUGGUGAAGGAAGUGGCAUAAACUUUUUGCGUCGAUUAAUUGGAAGCCAAUGCUUGUUACGGAUAUGCAUACUUAAUUAAGUGCAACAUGACACUUCUCUUUUUGGCCAUGCACAUGCUGAUGGUUGUGAUCUGAUCAGUGACUUACAUGAUUCAUAGGUGUGUGACAAUCCUAGUUAGAUGACACUUUGUGAAGUGUAGGGUACUUUUGUAAGCUCCUGGUUGUUGUCAUGUAAAAUGAUGAUGGUUAAUAUAUGUGUGUGCUUGUGUGUGCGCGCGUCACUUUUGUGUCUUCAACUUUCUAGAGUGAUUAUGUACAACUUAUACAUUUGUGCAAAUACAAUGAACGUAUGUGUUUUUACCAUACUAUUUAUAAGUAAUGAUUCCCUAGGGUUCCCAAAC
rnacentral:lncRNA from 1 species